rnacentral:rRNA from 1 species
ACGAACGCUGGCGGCGUGCUUAACACAUGCAAGUCGAACGGGCCUUGUCCCCUUUUUUUUGGGGGUGGGGUUAGUGGCGAACGGGUGAGUAACACGUGAGUAACCUGCCCCUCACUUCUGGAUAACCGCUUGAAAGGGUGGCUAAUACGGGGUGUUCUGGCCUGCUCGCAUGGGUGGGUUUGGAAAGAUUCGACCGGUUUUGGUUGUUUUGGUGGGGGAUGGGCUCGCGGCCUAUCAGCUUGUUGGUGGGGUGAUGGCCUGCCAAGGCUUUGACGGGUAGCCGGCCUGAGAGGGUGGGCGGUCACACUGGGACUGAGACACGGCCCAGACUCCUACGGGAGGCAGCAGUGGGGAAUAUUGCACAAUGGGCGCAAGCCUGAUGCAGCGACGCCGCGUGAGGGAUGGAGGCCUUCGGGUUGUGAACCUCUUUCGCCAGUGAAGAAGGUCCUGCUCUUUGUGGUGGGGUUGACGGUUGCUGGGUUAAUGAAGCGCCGGCUAACUACGUG